UACAUGGGGUGCAAACGUUGCUCGGAAUUAUUGGGCGUAAAGCGCACGUAGGCGGUUCGUUAAGUCGGAUGUGAAAGCCCGGGGCUCAACUCCGGAAUUGCCUUUAAGACUGCAUCGCUAGAAUUGUGGAGAGGUAAGUGGAAUUCCGAGUGUAGAGGUGAAAUUCGUAGAUAUUCGGAAGAACACCAGUGGCGAAGGCGACUUACUGGACACAUAUUGACGCUGAGGUGCGAAAGCGUGGGGAGCAAACAGG
rnacentral:rRNA from 1 species